ACGGACAUAUCACGUUGAAACACCGGUUCUCGUACGAUCACCGAAGUUAAGCAACGUCGAGCCUGAUCAGUACCUAGAUGAGUGACCACUUGCUA